CUUUCGGGCGGGGCCCCGCCCGCUUUGUCCGGCCGCCCGGGGGGGGGCGCCUUCUGCCCCCCCCGGGCCCCGUGCCCGCCGGGAGACCCCCAACACGAAACACUGUCUGAAAGCGUGCAGUCUGAGUUGAUUGAAUGCAAUCAGUUAAAACUUUCAACAAUGGAUCUCUUGGUUCCGGCAUCGAUGAAGAACGCAGCGAAAUGCGAUAACUAAUGUGAAUUGCAGAAUUCAGUGAAUCAUCGAGUCUUUGAACGCACAUUGCGCCCCCUGGUAUUCCGGGGGGCAUGCCUGUCCGAGCGUCAUUGCUGCCCUCAAGCCCGGCUUGUGUGUUGGGUCGCCGUCCCCCUCUCCGGGGGGACGGGCCCGAAAGGCAGCGGCGGCACCGCGUCCGAUCCUCGAGCGUAUGGGGCUUUGUCACAUGCUCUGUAGGAUUGGCCGGCGCCUGCCGACGUUUUCCAACCUUCUUUCCAGGUGACCUCGGUCAGGUAGGGAACCCGCGAUUAGA
rnacentral:rRNA from 1 species